AGAGAAAUCCAUGCUGCUGAUGAGAGCCAUCUAGAAGUUUUGCUGUUGUCUGUUCCAGAAAAAGGAAAUCACAAUACACACUUCAUUAAAAAAAGAAAAAAAACUAUUUGGAAGCAGAAAAUAAUCUCAAGAGAGACACAGUGAGAGGGAACACAAGCAGAGGGAGUGGAAGAGGGAGAAGCAGGCUUCCAGCAGAGCAGGGAGCCCGAUGCGGGGCUCGAUCCCAGGACCCUGAGAUCAUGACCUGAGCCGAAGGCAGCCGCUUAACCAACUGAGCCACCCAGGCACCCCCUGUUAAUUUUGUUUUUAAUCUGGACUUUACAACAAAGAAGGAAGGAAAGAAGCCAGAGCAAUUACUGAAAGGGUCCUGCUUGCUGAUGGGUCGAACCAACAAGGUGCGUCUGUUCAGCUUGUCAGUACAGGAAAGGAAGACACCUCCACAUUGCCCCAGAGACCAACACUCUUCCCCAA